UUACCAGUCGAUCGAAUCUCAUCCAAGCUUUUAUUCAUAAGCGAGCUAUGUUUGCGAACGGUCGCCUUCGCGAUAAAAGACAACAUUCAAUAAAAAUCUACGGUUAAAAUAUUUUUAAAGGCUGCAGCAGAAAAACAUAAACACGUUUUAAGUGCCGUGGUUUAAGUAAUUUUAAUUUUACCAAAAUUAAGUACCAAGUGAAAAUCCAAUACCUACUUUAAACGUUUCUUUAUAUAAAAAGUCCCUGAAAGCUAAAUAUGAAGGAUUUCGGAAAAAUGUUCUCGGGUCGUUAUAGUGCCGUUUGUGUGAGCGAAGACGAUGACAACAAUCAGCAGCAGUCAACGACAACGGCAGAUUCAUCAGGCUUUCAAAGCGUUGGUCCUGCUACGACAUCAUCCGCCAUGGCUGCAAUGCAUCGUAACCAACGUCGAAAGAGUCUCAAGGCAAAUCGCUCCAUGUAUCCAAUGGGUAUAUUGAACGGUUUUUUUAUGGAAACCAACCAGGGGAGCCAAAACAGAGUGCCUACGCGUACAUUUUUACUGCUAGCAGUCGGUUUUUUGGCUAUAACAACAGCGGUGCUGGUUAAAGUAUUUCAACCCUACGAUUUAAUAUUUAAAUGGAAAUUAAUAAUGGCAGAAGGAGGAGAAAUUUUCAACCUUUGGGCACAGCCUCCAGUCGAUUUGUAUAUAAAGAUAUAUCUGUUUAAUAUAACCAACGCCGAAGACUUUCUUGCGGGUCGCGAACAGUUAAAAGUGGAACAAGUAGGCCCUUAUGUCUAUAAAGAAAUAAUGACUCAUGAAAAUGUAAUAUUCAAUGAGAAUGAUACCAUGUCUAGCUCACCUAGUCAUCCUUUAGUAUGGCAACAGCACUUGUCAGAGGGACGACGUGAAGACGAUCCGGUUGUAAUGCUUAACAUUGCCAUGUUGGCCAUAUCGCAUCUUACUGCCAACCAUCCGUUUUUUGUUCGAAUGGCUUUAAAAACUCUACUUGUGAGUACGAAAUCGGAACCAAUAGUUCAAACCACUGCCAAGGAGUUUAUGUUCGGUUAUCCGUCAGCGCUGGCUACAUUGGGCAACACAUUUUUACCCAACUGGAUAUCCUUCGAAAAAGUGGGACUAAUAGACCGCAUGUAUGACUUUUCAACGGACUUUGAGACCUUUUACACGGGAAAGUCAAAUCCGGCCGAGUCUGGCUUGUAUGCAACCUACAGAGGAGAGGCAUCGUUACCUCAGUGGGAGAAUGAACAUUGUAGCAACAUUGAACACGCUUCUGAUGGAACCAAGUUCAAAAGUUUUCUUUUGCCCAACGAGACAGUAAAGUUCUUUCGGAAGAGCAUGUGCAGACCCAUCCACUUGUAUCGAGUUGGUGAAAAGAAAAAAAUUGGAAGCCUAAGUGGUUACAGUUAUGUGUUUGAGGACAACGCAUUUGACAAUGGAGUAACAAAUGAUGCCAACAAAUGCUUCUGUAGAAAAGGUUAUUGUCAGCCCGUAGGAUUAAUUGACGUCACCGAUUGUUACUAUGGAUUUCCAAUAUCUCUAAGCUUUCCUCAUUUCAUGGGGGGCGAUGUGGGUCUCCAGAAAAACAUAACCGGCAUGAAUCCUGAUCCGGCCAUACAUUCUUCAGAGUUUAUCAUACAACCGGAAUCAGGAUUGCCACUAUCGUUGUCAGUAAAAGUUCAAAUAAACAUGCACUUUCAAAAUUUGAACAAUUAUCAAGCUGCUUCGAAAUUCAGUCACCUGACAGUGCCUAUGCUUUGGUUUGAGAUUAUGAUGCCCAAACUUCCGGACUUCUUAGAUUCUCGCUUCAACUUUUAUCUUAACCUACUUCCGUUGGUUAAUCCAUUAUCUUUCUGGAGUGCGCUUUUAUUAGGAGUAAGCCUCCUUGGAUAUGCUAUUACCAAGGCAACACUGCAAAUGUCUAAUUACGCUCGCAAGACGACCACAAUUUCCGAGAGAAAGUUUGCUCGAGUCAAUCUUAUUAAAAAUCUUUCUGGUGGCACGCCCACUCAAGCUCUAGGAGCAUGCGAGAUGAAAUUUAUUAAUGAUCGACAAGGAGUUAAACAUAAGAUAAGACGAUCUAACAACACAGAUUUAAAGUUUCAGAAUCUACAUCGGUUGUCGAAAUUAGCUUUAGAAAUAGAACCAGCUUUGUCAGAUUCCGAGGAAAAUAACGACGAAGGCAGAAACUGCAAAACUGUAUAUUCUAACUUGAGUAUUUCCAGCUCAUGCAGUACUGCAGAAUUAAAUAAUGAAGUGAAAGCUUUGGAUUCUUUCGAACAGGAAGGUAUGUUAAUUUUGUCCAGAUGUUUGUAAUGCAUUGUUGAAUCCAUUUCCAUAACUGAUUGAUUUGGAAAUGCUCUUUCUAGAGCGACGGCGCUGGCAUACGCAUGCUCAUACUUAAUCUUAGCCAACUCUGCCACACAAUCUUUGAUGAUCUUUGCUAUUGUUCAAUAAUGUGAUCACCAGCUGAUCUUCUUCUAUACGGAGUCUAAGAUCCCAAAUGUAUAAGGAAAGGCAAAAGGAGCAUAACUGAAUGUAUUAAAAAUAAAAAAGAAGUUGGUUGUUGUA